rnacentral:sRNA from 1 species
AAGCGUUAUAUAAAUCGUUUUAGGAUGGCUUAGUUAUCAUUCAUAUCCAACAUGUAUUCUUAUCCUCCUUUGAGG